GCAAUUGUUUUUAAGCUCAGUUGGUAGAGCGUUAGACUUUUAAUCUAACGGUCAGGGGUUCGAGUCCCCUACGGGGCU